CCUGAUCCAGCCAUGCCGCGUGUGUGAAGAAGGCUUUCGGGUUGUAAAGCACUUUCAGCGAGGAAGAAAGCCUCUGGGUUAAUACCCCAGAGGAAAGACAUCACUCGCAGAAGAAGCACCGGCUAACUCCGUGCCAGCAGCCGCGGUAAUACGGAGGGUGCGAGCGUUAAUCGGAAUUACUGGGCGUAAAGCGCGCGUAGGUGGCUUGGCACGCCGGUUGUGAAAGCCCCGGGCUCAACCUGGGAACGGCAUCCGGAACGGCCAGGCUAGAGUGCAGGAGAGGAAGGUAGAAUUCCCGGUGUAGCGGUGAAAUGCGUAGAGAUCGGGAGGAAUACCAGUGGCGAAGGCGGCCUUCUGGCCUGACACUGACACUGAGGUGCGAAAGCGUGGGUAGCAAACAGGAUUAGAUACCCUGGUAGUCCACGCCGUAAACGAUGUCGACUAGCCGUUGGGACCUUUAAGGACUUAGUGGCGCAGUUAACGCGAUAAGUCGACCGCCUGGGGAGUACGGCCGCAAGGUUAAAACUCAAAUGAAUUGACGGGGGCCCGCACAAGCGGUGGAGCAUGUGGUUUAAUUCGAUGCAACGCGAAGAACCUUACCUACCCUUGACAU
rnacentral:rRNA from 1 species